UACGAAGGGGGCUAGCGUUGUUCGGAAUUACUGGGCGUAAAGGGCGCGUAGGCGGCCUGUUAAGUUGGAUGUGAAAGCCCCGGGCUCAACCUGGGAACCGCAUUUGAUACUGGCAGGCUUGAGUUCCGGAGAGGAUGGUGGAAUUCCCAGUGUAGAGGUGAAAUUCGUAGAUAUUGGGAAGAACACCGGUGGCGAAGGCGGCCAUCUGGACGGACACUGACGCUGAGGCGCGAAAGCGUGGGGAGCAAACAGG
rnacentral:rRNA from 1 species